rnacentral:rRNA from 1 species
UACGGAAGGCAGCAGUGGGGAAUAUUGCACAAUGGGCGAAAGCCUGAUGCAGCUAUGCCGCGUGUAUGAAGAAGGCCUUAGGGUUGUAAAGUACUUUCAUCGGGGAGGAAAAAACAAAACUAAUAAUUUUAUUUCUUGACGUUACCCGAAAAAGAAAGCACCGGCUAACUCCGUGCCAGCAGCCGCGGUAAUACGGAGGGUGCUAGCGUUAAUCAGAAUUACUGGGCGUAAAGAGCACGUAGGUGGUUUUUUUAAGUUCAGAUGUGAAUCCCUGGGCUUAACCUAGGAACUGCAUUUUGAAACUGAAAUACUAGAGUAUCGUAGAGGGAGGUAGAAUUCUAGGUGUAGCGGUGGAAAUGCGUAGAUAUCUGGAGGAAUACCUGUGGCGAAAGCGGCCUCCUAAACGAAUACUGACACUGAGGUGCGAAAGCGUGGGGAGCAAACAGGGAUUAGAUACC